GGCCUUGCUCUUAUGUCAUCUGACUAAAAGUUUCAUAGACCAAAGAUAACCAUCCAACCUGUUGGAAUACUGAAACAAUUGCUGCCUGCUUUUCACACACUACAUAAAAUAUGUGGAUAUCCUAAAUUCUACAAAAAAGAUUUGCAAGCAGAUUAAGCAAUACUGGGACUCCCUCUUCUCCAGAAGAGACAUCCUGGCCUCCAUGCAGAGGAAUGUGUGGAUGGACAUAUAUUUAAGGAAGACACUAAACCAGAAAAUACUACAUUACACCCUCUUAAAAGACUUCUAAGAUUGUUGUCAUGCCUACCACUGACAUUCAGAUGAUGUGUAUUCUUGAUUGUGAUUUCAUGUUUGGAGCUGAUGAAGGAGUUUGAAGUCUCCAGAGCAGCAAGGAGAGUGGGGAGUAGAACUCAUCAUCUUUAGGUCACUCAUCCCCG
rnacentral:lncRNA from 1 species